ensembl:lncRNA
CGCGUCCUUAACGGCACCGCCGACCCGUGCUCAGAAUUAUAGCUUACGUCGAAAUUGCUAUGUGUGUAGUUGUAGUUUUUAAUGAACUAAUGUGUCACCUUUUUAACGUAUACUGUCUAAAAAGCGCCCAUUUAAUAUGUUGGUUCACGCACGGUCACUUCUUUUCUGAGGACUACCUCGCAACACGGAGCAUUUUUUAACAAUGCUAUGUGAUUGGCGCUCAUCAGGACCUGAAGGUCCCAGAGUCUGGAGGAAGAGUGGAGAGGAGCAGAAUCCAAGUUUCUUGGAUCCAAGUCCACUGUGAAGUUUCCACAGUCACUGAUGAUUAGGGGUGCCAUGUCAUCUGCUGGUGUUGGUCCACUGUUUUCUCAAGUCGAGAGUCAAUGCAGUGUCUACCAGGAGAUUUUGGAGCACUUCAUUCUUCCAUCUGCUGACAAGCUUUACGGAGAUCCAUCCAUCUUCUACCGCUUACUCCUUUUCAGGGUCCCGGAGAACCUGGAGCCUAUCCCAGGGAGCAUUGGGCACAAGGCGGGGUACACCCUGGACAGGGUGCCCCCUGGACAGGGUGCCAGUGCUUUAUAGAGAUGCUGAUUUCAUUUUCCAGCAGGACAUGUCUCCUGCCCCCAGUGCCAAAACUACUAGUAACUGGUUUGCUGACCAUGGUAUUACUGUGCUUGAUUCGCCAGCCGACUCAUCCUACCUGAACCCCAUAGAGAAUCUAUGAGAGACACCAGACCCAACAAUACAGACAAGCUGAAGGCAAUCAAAGCAACCUGGGCUUCCAGAACACCUCAGCUGUGCCACAGGCUGAUUGCCUCCAUACCACGCCACAUUGAUGCAGAAAUUUGUGCAAAAAGAGCCCCGAUCAAGUAUUGAGUGCAGAAAUUAACAUACAGAAAUAUCGACCCUGAAAAGUAUUAUAAAUUAUUUAUUCUAAUAUUUUGACGUACUGGAUUUUUGAUUUCCAUGAGCUGUAAGAUGUAAACAUCAAGAUUGAAAAAAAAAAAAGUCUUGAAAUGUGAAGUUCUCCACGAUAUUCAAAUUUUUUGAGAUGCACCUGCUCUCCGAUAUCAAUCUGCUCCUUUCACCGCACAUUGCAUGUACCCCAUCCAUUGUCAGUCCAGUAUGUAUAUCCCAAGGCAAUUUAAUUUCCUUUACAGAUUUUUCUACUUGUUGACAUUCGCAAAUGCUUGCCUUUUAUCAGGGCACAGCACAUUGCUAAUUUUAAGCAUACACUUCUUCAGAAAAUCACCCUCUGUGUAUGGUCAGCCUGAUUGAGCUAUUUCUUCAGCCACGAUAAAAGUGGGUUUUAUGGCUACAUCACUCUGUGCAUUUGCUUUAGAAAACAUUGUUUGCUGUUGUACAAGGCCUUUCUUUAUCUCUACCAACUUCUGUUACUUCUUCUGUCUAUCCAAGUCCCCAUAUUUGUCACGGUGUUUUGUAUCAUAAUGAUGUCUUCUGUUAUAUUCUUUAAUUUGCCAGAGUCUCCUGGCAAACGAGACAGACAGGUUUUUCUUUAUGGUCGACAAAUAAGUAUUCCAACUCCCACCUGUCAUGGAAUGCCCUACCUUCACGAUCAACUUUGUAUGGAAUUAUAACAGUGCCAAAUGUCCUCAAGGCAAAAUGGCAUGUUGAAUUACAUAAAUUGAAUAAAAAACGUAUCGCAAUAACAACACUUGAAUUAGUUUACUCUGCAAUUCAUUGGGCUUGUAUAUUUAGUUUGAAAAUGAAAUUCCAGCAUUCAAAUUUCAAUGCACACACAUUCACCUUCCUAAAAUACAGUUCCAAAAUAUUCAGUUGUUAAAAUACCAUCUUCAUUAUUCGUCAGGUAGUAUUUCAACACAUUAUUUUUCAACCUCACAAAUUCAUGCUGCAAAAAUUCGGGUCUUAAAAUUCAAGUCUUCACAUCCGGGUCUCCAGGAAGAGCAAUAUAUUGCUGAUACUAUUGUAACAUGUUACUCUGGGCCGGCCUCAAACUCUGAUGGUUGUGAGUAGUGGUGGGAUUGUGCAGACAAGCCACAAGAGAAGAUGAACCUAGCGUACUGGCAUAAAGUUUGUUUGACGUUGGACAUUCGAUAUUGGCAGAUAUGCGCAAAUUAAGGGACCGUCUCUAAAGUUAGAUCCAACAUUGGUAUACACAUUUCUAACUUCAAUAGCAUUUGAAGGGAAUGACUUACAGUCAUAUAACCAACUGUAAAGUGUUCAUUUAGGUGUCAGCUAUAACACGUUUUAGAUUUUUGAUAUUUAAUUAAAUAAACUGUCAAAUCAUAUCUAAACAUUGUGAUGUUUUUAUACCAUAUGGACAUGUGCACAAAAUAUACCAUAGUUUAAAGCUCAAUAGCAUUUGAAGAGAAUGACUUGGUCAUAAAAGCAACUGUUUAAUAUAUAGUGAUAUAUUUGUUGUGGAGUGAGGGGGUCCUUGUGGAUUGUUCGAAAUAUGCUAGGGGUCCAGAGCUCACAAAAGGUUGAGUACCAAUGGUCUAGUGUAUGAAUUUUAGAAGGGUAGUAUCGUCUCAAAUGGAACACAUUAGUUUUUUAUUAACUGGAAGUAUCCUUCCGCUUCCUAGUCCGUGGCACAUGACUGCAUACGCACGUAAUGCGACACUGAUAGCUUUAGCAGACACCCAGAGUCACCGACAUGACUUUCUUCAGUUUACUGUUUGUCAACAUUACCUUUUAUUCCCAACAUGACCUCAGUCACUAUCAGACGGAGGCAUAGUCAUCAAGUGACUGAGGAAGAAAGUGUGUGACCAAAGUCCUUUAAGGCAGGAGAGCAUUUUAUAUUAAACACCCUGAAGAUCAAACUUUAUAAAGUGGAGUUUGUGUAGUGUUGAAGCACGACAGUGGUGCACGAGCACAAACCUAUGUUUGUAUCCCAAAUGCUCCACUGUGUGCAAGGGGCAGGGGAAACUGUUGCAAGUUGCUUAAAAAGUUUAGUUUAAUUCCAGUUUAUUGUCAUUAUAUGGUGUAUUUGCAUGCUUGCAGUGUAACUUCUGUCAUUUAUUAUAACUAAAGUGAUCUGUUAGUAAUGAGGCUGUGUUGCUCCUCAAUUGCAGUGGGAGCGCAAGUAAGAUCUGUAAUGUCUAAUUAAAACACUAUGAUCAAAAGUAAAACAAUAUGCCUAAAGGCAGUGAGUAACAGAAACCAUAAGGUGCAGUGAAGGGUAGUUUUUAUUACUACUUUAGGACUGUAGUUUAAUUCAGUGCUUUUUGUGCAUCCAUAAAAAGGAAUGCAUACAGUGCAUCCGGAAAGUAUUCACAGCGCUUAACUUUUUCCACAUUUUAUUAUGUUACAGCCUUAUUCCAAUAUGGAUUAAAUUAUUUUUUUUCUCAAAAUUCUACAAACAAUACCCCAUAAUGACCAUGUGAAAGAAGUUUGUUUGAAAUCUUUGCAAAUUUAAUUUAUCUUUGCAAAUUUAGCUCCGCCCCGACUCGUUGAGAGGAAAGCUAAUAUCGUUUUCCGGUGUGCAACCGAUGCGAUCGUUCAUUUCAAACAAAGCGAGGAAACGCCUGGAAUUUGGCGAAGCACCUGAAAGAUGGUCCUAUAUUAUGUUUGUUGGCAUUGGCAGCUGGCAUUGUGGCCGUGAAACCAGGCUAACGUUAUGCUCCAUGUAAUGUUUGCGAUAGCCAGAUAUUUGUUAACAACGCUAACGCAUUACAAUGUUAUAAACUACCUCCUAAUUGACCACCAUGCAUCGCCAUUCAGCCCAUGUUCUGUCGGCAAAAUGUAGCCUAAUGUCACUUAUAAUUAUUCAAAUGUUCAUGCUUUUAAUAAAUCUUUUUGGCCUACCACCAUAUCAGUGAAUUUAAACUAAUGCUUGCAUUCAGAGUAUAAGGUGUGUGUGUGUGUGUGUGUGUGUGUGUGUGUGCGUUUAGGAGUGCACCUCCACUCAUUGUUAGACAGUGUUUGAUAACUAAAAUACCCCCC